CACAUGCAAAGGGGGCGUGUCUUCAAGCUCUAAAGAGCCGGAGGUAGCUUUUCAGUCUUAUUUCAGAGCAGGCUUGCUGCGUGAAGGCAGCUCUGCACUCAAAGGUGUGGUCCUUAUUCAAUCAGGGAGGACUCCAAGGAGCUGCCUGCGACCCUGCCCGGGACCUCAACAAAGACACGAGAGAGACGGGCCGGAGAGGACGCGGAGGAAUUUCCAGCGGCCCUGACAAAGACUUUGACUCGGACACUGGAUAGACAGGCUCCUAACAAAAUGGCCGCUGUGCCGAGGGGGGAAGGAGGCCAAAUUAUGGCUUAAGGGAGGCCAGUGUGGAGAGGGGAACUCAACGGACCCCCCUCCCACCACCUCGAACAACUCCCCCCGAGGGAAAGUGUACUUGAUGUUUCCUCAAUUGGAGCUAUUGGGAAAUAUCAGCGCUUUGAGAAGAUGACCUCACCCUGACUAUGGGAAGAAGCUUGUGUGAGUGUGAAGAAAAAGCAGUUUGGAACAGAGUGGUAGAAGGAGAAAGUUGAAGGCAUCUUAGAGUGCAGGACCUCUCUCUGGUUAUCUGUCAGAAAGGAUGUUCACUGCUCAAGCUACUCCUGACUUUCAGAGCUGCAAGCAUGUUAUGAAUUUAGAAACAACUGAACUAUUGCCAAGAUUUCAAAUCACUUUACCAUACUGAAUGGGCAUCCAUGGCAAUUUACCAGUAAGAUAAAAUAUAUUACUUGGAACAAGAGGCAAGGGGUAGUCCUGAUGAACAACAAAUAACGUAGAAUCUCAGCUAGAAGCAAAGACAGACCUCAGAUGGCCUCAUCAGAAUGAUAUUUCAAACUGAAACAUAAGGCCAAGGUGGAUCCCGUAAUGUCUAUAAUAGAUCAACAUCAUUUCACAGAACAGAGGCACUGGAUUAGAGAAAAGCCUUUCUGAAAACUUUUAUUAUCUAAGAAGUAAAGCAGUAAGAGAUAUAUUUGGAUAGUAAGGACAAGAGGGAACUGGAAGUUAAAAGACCAACUCUGCUCAAGAGUAUGAGGAGCCCAAAGGUUUCCCCAAGUUCAGUUUGGAUGCUGUAGUUCAAGACAGAUGAAAAGAAAGGACCAGGACAAGCAAUACACAGCCUUCCUACUGCUCAAGAAAACUGCCACUCAGGAUAAUGAACAAUUAUCACUGCUGGAGCACAUGGCAAUUUGCACCAUUUUGCUACCAUUGAGUUGGAGCCCAACUACUACAUGCAGAAGAGCCAAUCCCUUCCCUGGUCAACCUAUCCUCGAUUGCCCCUUCCUGUUUGCAUGUAUUAGAAAACUCCUGCUCUUUUACCUUGGUUAUCUGAUUAAUAAAAGGUGGUUUAUCUUGUCAGGUCCAA